UGGAUUUGAGGGUCUGGUCCAACCGCUCGAGUGCUCCCUGGCUUUCCGGAUGAUACGCACUCGAGACCUGGCGAGCCAGCCGGUACUCCUGGAUCCAACAGAGGAACGAGGCGAAAGGUCGGCCCUAGGGGAGACAGGACACAAACCAAAACAAACACCCCCAAAACGUAAUUGCUGAUGCCAACUGGAAAGUUGCUUUUGACGUGCCAGUUGGGACAUUCAAGAGGCCGGACCUGGACAAGGAGAUGAUUGCUGAGGGCUUCACGUCAGG